rnacentral:lncRNA from 1 species
CAAUUGGCAGUCCUGAGAGCCUCUGGUCUCUCCCCUGGAUGGGGAGAGCAUGGAAAGGAGUGAUACUGGCUCGGAAGAUGCUAUCCCUGCCGGCGUCAUCACAGCGGCGAUCGCAACACUGCUACUAGAUGCCUUUGUGUGAUGAAAGCCAUCUGGAGGGCUCAGCCUUUUCUUUCCUUUCCAGCAUUAGCUAACACCCAGAUUUCUUCAUGUCCUUCAUUCCUGGCAAACACACACACCGACGACAGCACACAUCAAGGGUCCCCCCGUCACACUGGUUCUUGGUGCCUGAUGACAAUAAAAGCAAACCUCCAAGAGGGGAAGACAUCUGCUG